CGAAAACUAGGGGGCUCUGAGCUCCGUGUGUCUCCAAGUCUCAGAAAGGUGUGGGAUGUCUGCUUUCCAGAAUAAUUUCCCACGGUGCAGUGGUGAGGUUCACAGAACGUGGUGACCAAGUUCUGCUCCUUGAAGAUGAGCUUCAAGGAACACAGAGAUAAGAAGAAGCCAGCAGCUGUCCUGCUGCUGUCACCACUGCCCUGUUGAUCAGCCAGCCCCAGGCCCAUUCCCCAUGGGACUAAAAUUUUCUACCCUCUGGACCAGUGCCCCUCCCCUACUUAAACUUCCCCACAUCAGCCUUGUGAACCCUCCUCUCAGUGCCAAUGGCCUUCUCACCCUUGGCCCAUCUGC